GUUCUCCUUUGUCCUCCGACGAGUAAACAGCAAAGAUCUCUCAGGAUAUUUUUGCCGCAAGUAUUAACGAAUAUUUAAAAACAUCAUUGCAAUUGCGUUCGAAGCGAUGAUGUAAUCGAAUGUUUGUGUCACUAUUAUAAAAAUAUCGCAAAGUAAAAACUGUGUUUAUUCGUUUGCGUUUUGCGAUUUAAACAACAAGUAUUUUUGCAUCGAUUGCGUGCAAUGCAAUCGUAAGAGUCAGUGUUCACUUGUAAAAUAUUUUGCUUUUUUAAUAGUUGCACAGACUGUAUUUAUAAAAGACAAUAGAAUUUCUCGAAGUAAAUUCAGUGAUCGUUCGUUAAUAAAUAACUACCGCAAAUUAGAGUCAGUGCACGAUUGAAUAGGAUCUCGACUAACUUCGAUACCGACUUAACUCAAUUUCAACCAGCUACGUUUUAUCCACCCUUAAUUUCAAUCUAAAUCGCGGACGAGUGUUUUGGAGCCGUCGCAGAACUUCUUAAGUAGGAUCAUCGAGGGAUCAACGAGGGAUAGACUUAUCUACGAUCGGAUGAGUCCGAUGUAUCGUUGAAUGGCUCGGUUCAUCGUCAAUUUUUAUGCGAUAAUACGGGAAGGAUAGGGAGAACACAAGCGCGUGUAGGACGGCAUAUGCAUGGGUGUUAGUGGACGCGAUUAGAAGUACAUUUUAUUUAUUCGAAAAUUCAAUUAAAUAGACCUCGUGAGUGUCUGGGCUUGAUUAAAAGUCUUACCAUGGAUUUUAUUGUAUUAUUCGAAAUUUGAGAUACACGAAAGAUUCUACUUAGUAGUAGAGUACAUGUAGUUGCCGAUGUUGCGACGGUUCAGUUACCCAUAAGUGGAGACUGACCCUUCUCUAGAUAGCGUUGGAAGCCAGAAUUCUCGGUUAGCUCAUGUCACCUCAGAUUUCAACGUAGAGUCAGCAUUAUUCUAAACACUCACGUGAAUGUUUUAAACACUCACGGAGACUGACCCUCCUCCUCUAGAUAAUGUUGGGAGCCAGAAUUCUCGAUUAGCUCAUGUCAGCUCAGAUUUCAACGUAGAGUCAGCAUUAUUCUAAACACUCACGUGAGUAUUCGCGAACACAAUUAAAAGUCCUACCGGUAACUUUGUUUUAUUUGUUAUUGAAAAUUCGAUUAGAUUAUUUCGCGAACGCGAACUUUAGAAUAGAGUCACCGUUAGCCCGUUGGUCUCCAGAUGCAGAAAUUUACACGUAGUGAGACCUAGGUCGAUAGUACUUGUAAUAUAUUGAAAUCUAAUUGUAAAUCACGCAAUGCAACUUACCGGACGCAUGGCUGAAUAUUUCAAUGUAUUUUAAAAAUCCCUUCAAACUAAUUCUGAUUAAACACUAAAGUACUAAUACUUUAUAUUGGAAAUAAUACUUCUAUAGACAAAUAGAUAAGAUAUAGUUAAAUUCAAAGAUAAUUCUUUAAAUUUGCAAAUUUAUAUACUAAUUAUCAUAUAUGUUAAUUACAUUUAUUAUUCUUUAUGCUUUUAUCGUGAAAUAAAUCCAGUACCAGAGUUGUAUCUAACAUGGAUCAUUGCAAGACGCAUGCAUCACAUAGAAAGAUAUACAUAUGAGAGAUUGAAAAGAGUGAAUUUACUAUCUACUAAAUUACUUACUCUAUCUUACACACAAAACCAAUUAUUAUGUACGCGCGAAAGAAGAAUAACCAACAAGCUUAUAUACCGAUAUGAUAGACAUAUGAUGGAGACAGCGUUCCCCGCAUGUAUUCGCAGUUCAUAUUUUGUCUAUACCUGUCGCUAAAGUCACACACGCUUUGAACAAAAGGUAUUGAAUGUGCGCAAACAUUACUCGUAGUACCAACUAGUAACAGGAAUUAAUACUACAACACUUUAAUGUAAAAUACUCAUCGCACCAUCUAGCAGCGAGAAAUUAUACUAUAACAUUAAGUACAAAAUAUCCAUUGUACCAUCCAAGAAAUUGAUACUAACGAAAUAAUACAACUUAUCUGUAUUCCCAUUUAUCGGUUCAAUUAAAAGAAUAAAAUUUCUCAAAAAUCACGUUAUUUACAAUGCUCUUCUGUUAUCAAAAUUCAUUUUUCGACGGAUCAAUUAACCAUGUCAGAAUUGUAUAUAUAAAUACAUUAAAUCUCAUAAAUUCUUUUUUUUAAUUAUUAAAUACUUUCUAUUUAUUUUUAUAGUAUACAAUUCUAGAAAGAUUAUAAAAUUGUCUAUUAAAAAUUAUUUUAGAAUUCUAUUAUAUUUAAUUUAUUUAUUUAUCGAAAUAUAAUUAACACUGUAAAAUUUAAGUACAUUAAUAUUUAAUUAGAAUUAAAAGGAAAAUAUUUCGGAAACACGUUGAAAUAUAUUCAGCCAUUUGCCCGAUAGUAUUUGCAUUAUAUACUAAUUUAGAUAUAAAUUUUAAUAUGUCACAAAUACUAUCAACCCAAAUGUCAUCAUAUGGAAAUUGCUGCAUAUUAAAAUCCACAAGCUGAGAUGAUUAUAACAUUACGUAUCUUGCGAGUUACGUAUUUUGUCUAAGAAAAUAUACUAUUGUUUAAUAAGUACAUUCUACAUUGUUUAAGUAAUUAUAAAAUCAUUGAAACUAUAAGAUGAUUAAACGUAACAAUACGAAUGAGAGUAUUUCAAUGUUUAUUUCUUGGAGUACGAAAGAAAACUAACAAUUAUUUUAUAUUUAUUAUGAAAAAAUAUUUUGUAAAAUAAGAAACGAAAACAUCUAUUAAUAAGCAUAAUUAAAUUUUUAUUAGAUUUAAUUGUUAUUAUUAGAUAUACAAUCAUUUUUAACAUAAGAAUUAUAUAUUAGUAUAUAAUAUAAAUUAUAAGGUAUAUAUUUAACGAAGGUAAGAAUAAACUAAACUGUCAGAUAAUUAAAACAUAAACAAGACUUAUUUCUAAAAAAAAAAAAAAAAAUAAUAGAAGUUCAAUUUUAUAUAUUUAAUAUUGUAUUAUACAAGUUUAAUAUUAUUUCCUUGUACAGAUAAGCAAAAUAUUUGUAAUAAGAACACUCAAAUAUAAAAAUAUAAAUGAUAUGCUAUUUAUGUUUAUCUUAAGUUCAACUAAAUAAAUGACAGAAAAGUAAUCGUAUCUCUCUUUACAUUUUUCUUCGUAAUAGAAAAUUAAUUCUAUGGUGUAUAAAAAUUCGCAUUACUAAUAUUACAUGUCGACAUAUUAGUAACAGAGUUUAUAACGGUAAUUGGAUAUUAUACUAAUAAGUAAUAUAUGUACAUACAUAUAAGUUUUAAUAUUUUUAUAAGAAAGUGUAAAGAUUGUUUUAUGAUGAAUGUACUAGCUUAAGUCGA